AUGGACAAGAUCCUGGGAGCAUCACUUUUAAUCCUUGGCCUCCACCUUACCUGGGUGAGUGGCCAACAGAAGGGAAAAAGUGACCAGCAGCAGGUGAAGCAAAGUCCUCAAUCUCUGACUGUCCAGGAAGGAGGGAUUUCAAUGCUCCACUGUUUUUAUGAGAACAGUGCAUUUGACUACUUCCGAUGGUACCAGCAGUUCCCUGGUAAAGGCCCAGCAUUAUUGGUAGCCAUCAGUUCAAUUAAAAUAAAAGAAGAAUUUGGAAGAUUCACAGUUUUCUUCAACAAAAGUGCUAAACAUAUCUCCUUGCACAUCACGGACUCUCAACCUGGAGACUCAGCCACCUACUUCUGUACAGCAAGAGCACAGUGCUCUCCAGGCACCUGCUGCCUGAACUCAAACCUGCAGCUGAGGCUCCAGCAAAGCCAUGCUGCAGGGCUUAGACUGGCAGAAACACAGACUGGCUUUCACUUGCACAGAUAGGUGAUGAAAUAAAUGUAUGGAUUCAUUA